AUUCCGAAGGGCGCUUCUCCAAGAAUACGCGCGUCCGUACAUUGCCAGCAUUGGUGAUUGGCGAUGUGAGGAAGGUCGGUGCGGUUUCGCCCCGGCCUUUUUUGUU
rnacentral:sRNA from 1 species